rnacentral:rRNA from 1 species
AUACGUAGGGUGCGAGCGUUGUCCGGAAUUACUGGGCGUAAAGAGCUCGUAGGUGGUUUUUCGCGUCGUCUGUGAAAUUCCUGGGCUUAACUCCGGGCGUGCAGGCGAUACGGGCAUAACUUGAGUACUGUAGGGGAGACUGGAAUUCCUGGUGUAGCGGUGAAAUGCGCAGAUAUCAGGAGGAACACCGGUGGCGAAGGCGGGUCUCUGGGCAGUAACUGACGCUGAGGAGCGAAAGCAUGGGUAGCGAACAGGAUUAGAUACCCUGGUAGUCCAUGCCGUAAACGGUGGGCGCUAGGUGUAGGGGUCUUCCACGACUUCUGUGCCGUAGCUAACGCAUUAAGCGCCCCGCCUGGGGAGUACGGCCGCAAGGCUAAAACUCAAAUGAAUUGACGGG